UCUAGAGUCAAGCCCCAGGAGAGACUGCCCAACAGGCUAAGCAUGCAUGCUGUAAAGUGAACCUGGCAGAAUGUGGAGCAAGACUGGGGGUGCAGUACUGAACAGUGAGCCUCAGAAAGACAUAUCCAUGGCCUUAAUCAGUGAAUGAGAUCUUAUUUGGGAAUAAAUUUCAAGUGUAAUCAAGUUAAGGAUCUCUGAGAUGACAUCAUUCUGAAUUAUUCAGUUCACAGGAAACAUCCUGGCCAGGCCCACCUGUGAAUGGCUGCAAGAAAGAAAAAAUUAGCACAUCCCCUCUAAAGUCUGGCCAGAACCAGGAAAUAUUUGCAACAACUUACUGGUUUUUUUUUGUUUUUGCUUUACUUCUUUACCCUUCUCUCUGUUCUGAAAAAGAACUAGCACUCACACUUGGGCAAAUGGUUUUGGGGCCACCAGUCCACUAUCUUCGCAAUCUGCUGGCUUUCCCAAUAAAGUUGCUAUUCCUGGCCCCAAAACCUUGUCUCUUGAUUUAUUGGCCUGUAGAAUUUGAACUCAAUAACACCCUGAGCUUGUUCACCAGUUCAGC